rnacentral:rRNA from 1 species
UACAGAGGGUGCAAGCGUUAAUCGGAUUUACUGGGCGUAAAGCGUGUGUAGGUGGCUUCCUAAGUCGGUUGUGAAAUCCCCGGGCUCAACCUGGGAAUUGCGAUGGAGACUGCGAGGCUAGAAUCUGGCAGAGGGGGGUAGAAUUCCACGUGUAGCAGUGAAAUGCGUAGAGAUGUGGAGGAACACCGAUGGCGAAGGCAGCCCCCUGGGUCAAGAUUGACGCUCAUGCACGAAAGCGUGGGGAGCAAACAGG